CCAGGUGCCACAAGUGGGUGCUCUGGUGGAAGCAGAGAGAGGAGCUGCUAUGGACUGACCACAGCCCCCAUUCCACAUCUUCCCAGUGCCACUCAGUGAAAUAGCAGAACCAAGAGUGAAGGACUGCAGUUGAGCAUGGGAAAAAGAGGUCAAAACAGAGGUUCUCCUGUCCUUCCAAGGAGUGGAAGUGAGAGAAGAGCUGGGUGGGGUCUGGCAGCCAGCAGCAGUCAACACACGGCAAAUACCAAUGGAGCAAUCAAGUUUCCAGGAUUAUUACAAAUGAGUGAAGGCAUUCAAUCUGGUUCUGAACGUGUCUUCAAAAUGUCAAUAAUGUAAAUUACAUAGCAGUUUGGACCAAUGCAUCUUCUGGGGCACUCCCAAACAAUCCCAGAGCUCUCUUGGAAGAAUGACUGUGCAACGCUGCCAGCCAAAUGCUCCUCGUGAUCCACAGCAUGGACAUACAUGAAGUACACAACUGCUUUACUUUGGGAACAGAAGUUCUUGCCACGGACACGUGAGCAGCUCCAGGACUCAUCCCAACAUGUAUUGGUGUUCCUGGAGGGAUGGCUGUAUGAAGGAAACAAAGCUCAUGCUCACUGCAAGCUUCCAAAGGUGAAGGACUGAUCCCAUGGAGUCAGUGAGGAAGUAAACUCAGUAAAGAUCACUCCUUUCUUACUAGAAAGAAACACCUCAUCCCACAAAACACUGAGGGAACUCAUCUUUCAGGUCAGAAAGUGAUGAUGGUGGGGGCAAGGUGCACUGUCAGGCUUUUGAAAAUUUCCACCUUGUCCACAGAGCAAGACUCCUUCUAUUUUGCCCCAGUAUCCUCCUCCUGUGGAUAUCCACAUCUAUUAAAGGGAAAUAUCUUAGAUUUUUUAAGAUAGCAGAUCUUGCUGUUUCUCACAUUGCUGCUCAACAUGAAACUUCACAGGCCUGGGCAUAAGUGUAAUAAACUGUAAUAAAAUGCUCCA
rnacentral:lncRNA from 1 species